ACAUUGAAGAGUGAAUGAAAAUGAAGUCAGUUGUUAUAAUUUGCUUCAUUCUGAGCUUAGUGGCAGGAAGGUCCACAGCGUCCUUUAGGAAGUGCUACGCCAAGUGCUUCGUAGCGUGUGCUAUCACACCAGGCAUCACCCUUGGCACCUGCGGUGCAACGUGCUUGGCGAAGUGCCUGUUCAUUGCAUCAGCCCCAAUGGAUUUCAACCAUAUGGACACUCAUUACUUCUGCAAACUUGGGUGUGCCACUUCCAUGUGCACCAAAUUCAGCACCAAGAACGACCCAUCUGAGAAGAAAGUGGAAAGGUGUGUGGACUCGUGCGCUGGAACAUGCAUCAAAGCUUAGAAAGCAGAAACAUGAAGAAGGGAGGAGAAGGAGCUGGGAUUGGCCUUAACACCAUCAAUAAAUAAACAUAUUUUGGUGUAUGCAUGGUUUCAUGGUUUCAAGUUUGUGCAUGAUAUAUGAGAAUGAUGUGUUACGUGGAA